rnacentral:rRNA from 1 species
GACGUAGGGCGCGAGCGUUGUCCGGAUUUAUUGGGCGUAAAGAGCUCGUAGGCGGCUUGUCGCGUCGAAUGUGAAAACUCGGGGCUCAACUCCGAGCUUGCAUUCGAUACGGGCAGGCUAGAGUUCGGUAGGGGAGACUGGAAUUCCUGGUGUAGCGGUGAAAUGCGCAGAUAUCGGGAGGAACACCGGUGGCGAAGGCGGUUCUCUGGGCCUGUACUGACGCUGAGGAGCGAAAGCGUGGGGAGCGAACAGG